rnacentral:rRNA from 1 species
UACGUAGGGUGCAAGCGUUAAUCGGAAUUACUGGGCGUAAAGCGUGCGCAGGCGGUUCGCUAAGACAGAUGUGGAAUCCCCGGGCUUAACCUGGGAACUGCAUUUGUGACUGGCGGGCUAGAGUAUGGCAGAGGGGGGGUAGAAUUCCACGUGUAGCAGUGAAAUGCGUAGAUAUGCGGAGGAACACCGAUGGCGAAGGCAAUCCCCUGGGCCUGCACUGACGCUCAUGCACGAAAGCGUGGGGAGCAAACAGG